UACGAAGGGGGCUAGCGUUGCUCGGAAUCACUGGGCGUAAAGAGUGCGUAGGCGGGUCUUUAAGUCAGGGGUGAAAUCCUGGAGCUCAACUCCAGAACUGCCUUUGAUACUGAGGAUCUUGAGUUCGGGAGAGGUGAGUGGAACUGCGAGUGUAGAGGUGAAAUUCGUAGAUAUUCGCAAGAACACCAGUGGCGAAGGCGGCUCACUGGCCCGGUACUGACGCUGAGGUGCGAAAGCGUGGGGAGCAAACAGG
rnacentral:rRNA from 1 species